AGCAGUGUAGCAUAGUGGUAAGGAGCAGGGCUUGUAACCGAAAGGUUUCUAGUUCGAUUCCCCACUGGGGCACUGCUG
rnacentral:tRNA from 1 species